UGGGGAAUCUUGCGCAAUGGACGAAAGUCUGACGCAGCGACGCCGCGUGGGUGAUGAAGGCCUUCGGGUUGUAAAGCCCUGUGGGGAGGGACGAAUAAGUUCCGGUUAAUACCCGGAGCGAUGACGGUACCUCCUUAGCAAGCACCGGCUAACUCUGUGCCAGCAGCCGCGGUAAGACAGAGGGUGCAAACGUUGUUCGGAAUUACUGGGCGUAAAGCGCGUGUAGGCGGCCCCGCAAGUCGGAUGUGAAAGCCCUCGGCUCAACCGGGGAAGUGCAUUCGAAACUGCAGGGCUAGAGUCCCGGAGAGGAUAGUGGAAUUCUCGGUGUAGAGGUGAAAUUCGUAGAUAUCGAGAGGAACACCGGUGGCGAAGGCGGCUAUCUGGACGGUGACUGACGCUGAGACGCGAAAGCGUGGGGAGCAAACAGGAUUAGAUACCCCCGUAGUCC
rnacentral:rRNA from 1 species